rnacentral:lncRNA from 1 species
CCUAGAUGUUUCAGUUUAGAAACAAUUUCCAGUUUCUUUUAUUGCCAAGGAAAAAAAAAAAAAUGGAUUUUGAGAGUCUUCCUCACUUCCUGAAGAUCAUUAUUUUUGUCGAGAUGUUUUUGGAAGCAAUAUUUUUCAAGAUCGUUGAUUUUGUUAUUCGACGACAACAGCACAAUCGGCAUAAAUGAAAAGUUAUUUAUAUUCUGAUUAUCUAAAUUAAUGAUAUCAUUAGGAUUAUUGAAACUUUAAAACAUAUUGAUGAAAAAGAGGAACAGUAAAGGACUUGAGGAAGUCCAAGAAGAAUGUCAAAUGGAUCGGAUAAUUAAUUAUUUUAAAGAGUUUCUAUUGAAAGUUUGGAGAAUAAUUUACAUAUUAUAUGGAUUAGUUAGAUAAAUUAUUUAUAAAUGUUCUUUUAAAUAUAACGUUUUUUUAUUUUCGCUUACUGUAUUUAUCUUCUCGAAAUGCAUGUUAUGUCUUGCUAUUUCGAAAGCUUCUUGACCUCCCUCUCUCGCAUUCGUCAUUUUUUGUCAAAACCAAACUCGACCUCUCAUGACCGUGGAGUCACAAAUUUGAAGAGCACCCUCCUUUUUCUACUUAGAAGAUUUUUCUCCGAUUUUACGCAAAACAAAAAAAAAGAAAAAAACAAUUACUUUACAUUAGUACUUUGUUACACAUAUCCUUAUAUAC